GCCUCAGUAACGGCGAGUGAAGCGGCAACAGCUCAAAUUUGAAAUCUGGCCCCUCGGGGUCCGAGUUGUAAUUUGCAGAGGAUGCUUUUGGUGCGGUGCCUUCCGAGUUCCCUGGAACGGGACGCCAUAGAGGGUGAGAGCCCCGUACGGUCGGACACCAAGCCUAUGUAAAGCUCCUUCGACGAGUCGAGUAGUUUGGGAAUGCUGCUCAAAAUGGGAGGUAUAUUUCUUCUAAAGCUAAAUACCGGCCAGAGACCGAUAGCGCACAAGUAGAGUGAUCGAAAGAUGAAAAGCACUUUGAAAAGAGGGUUAAACAGCACGUGAAAUUGUUAAAAGGGAAGCGCUUGUGACCAGACUUGCGCCCGGUGAAUCACCCAGCUCUCGCGGCUGGGGCACUUUGCCGGCUCAGGCCAGCAUCAGCUCGCCGUCGGGGACAAAAGCUUCGGGAACGUAGCUCUCUUCGGGGAGUGUUAUAGCCCGCUGCAUAAUACCCUUCGGCGGGCUGAGGUACGCGCUCCGCAAGGAUGCUGGCGUAAUGGUCAUCAGCGACCCGUCU
rnacentral:rRNA from 1 species